AUAUAUAUUACAAUAAGUUUUGAAAUUUUGUAGAAACAGCAAAUUUACUGUUCGUUUUUUAUUUUAUAAGAAAUUAACAAGCUUACACAUGUGUACACCUAUUGUUUUUUAAUGCAUUCAAGAUAGUGUUUUUAUACCUAAUGUUCAUCAUUCCACUCAUAGGUUACCAUUAAUGCUCAUUUGCCACAAAUGUUCGGGUUACAUUGUUUUUUGAAUUUUUAUUGUAUUGCCCCUUUUUUAUCUUUUUAAAUUCCUUUUUGUUUGAAGUAAAUGAAUCAAGUAAAAAAAUUUCCCCUGAGGAGAGAUCAGCAAAGCAAGUUCGAAGAAAAAGAAAGGAAGAUGUGUGUCAGGUUGCGGCUCUUGACUUGCAGAGAGAGAACAGUUACCUCUUGGAUUGCUUUUAUUUUGUUGAGAGAGUUACGGGUUUCUUUAAAAAAAAAUUCAAUUAUUCUACUUAAUAAAUAUGGUUUACAUUUC